AUUGAACGCUGGCGGCAUGCCUUACACAUGCAAGUCGAACGGCAGCACGGGAGCAAUCCUGGUGGCGAGUGGCGAACGGGUGAGUAACAUAUCGGAACGUGCCCGGUAGUGGGGGAUAACCCGGCGAAAGUCGGACUAAUACCGCAUACGACCUACGGGUGAAAGCGGGGAUCGCAAGACCUCGCGCUAUUGGAGCGGCCGAUAUCAGAUUAGCUAGUUGGUGAGGUAAUGGCCCACCAAGGCUCCGAUCGGUAGCCGGCCUGAGAGGGCGGACGGCCACACUGGAACUGAAACACGGUCCAGACGCCUACGGGUGGCAGCAGUGAGGAAUAUUGGUCAAUCUGCGAAAGCGGGAACCAGCAACGCCGCGUGAAGGAUGAAGGCCUUCGGUCGUAAACUUCUUUGGAGCGAGACGAGAAAGGACGGUAUCGCUAGAACAAGCAACGGCAAAC
rnacentral:rRNA from 1 species